UACGUAGGGCGCAAGCGUUGUCCGGAAUUAUUGGGCGUAAAGAGCUCGUAGGCGGCCUGUCGCGUCUGCUGUGAAAUCCCGGGGCUUAACCCCGGGCGUGCAGUGGAUACGGGCAGGCUAGAGUUCGGUAGGGGAGACUGGAAUUCCUGGUGUAGCGGUGAAAUGCGCAGAUAUCAGGAAGAACACCUAUGGCGAAGGCAGCACUCUGGGACGGUACUGACGCUGAGACGCGAAAGCGUGGGGAGCGAACAGG
rnacentral:rRNA from 1 species